rnacentral:rRNA from 1 species
CGGGUGAGUAAUGCGUGACCAACCUGCCCCAUGCUCCAGAAUAGCUCUUGGAAACGGGUGGUAAUGCUGGAUGCUCCAACUUGACGCAUGUCUUGUUGGGAAAGUGUUUAGUGGCAUGGGAUGGGGUCGCGUCCUAUCAGCUUGUAGGCGGGGUAAUGGCCCACCUAGGCUUCGACGGGUAGCCGGCCCUGAGAGGGCGGACGGCCACAUUGGGACUGAGAUACGGCCCAGACUCCUACGGGAGGCAGCAGCC